GCGCGUAUGGCUGGCGUGCACACCCCACGGACCCCACCAAGUUUCUCCUCGACGGCACCGAGAUGUCCUGCCCCGCCUACCUGGUCUUUAACUUCAGGAUCUGCACUUGCGAUUUCCCCUGAACAUCUCUCGGCAGGCCAGAAGCAGGCUCUUCACGUUCCUGUGGCCAGAAAAAAUGUCACAGCUAAAUCAGACUUGAUUUAAUGAAGAAAAAAUAUGUUUAUUAUUCUUUAUAUAAAUUCAUAAAAGUCACGUGUUUCAUUGCAUUUUUGAUAAAAACAAUAAAUCAGAAACGAAUUGUUUGUGUUUACACCCUAG